rnacentral:rRNA from 1 species
AUUGAACGCUGGCGGCAGGCCUAACACAUGCAAGUCGAGCGGAUGAAGGGAGCUUGCUCCUGGAUUCAGCGGCGGACGGGUGAGUAAAGCCCAGGAAUCUGCCUCGUAGUGGGGGAUAACGUCCGGAAACGGGCGCUAAUACCGCAUACGUCCUGAGGGAGAAAGAGGGGGAUCUUCGGACCUCAUGCUAUCAGAUGAGCCGAGGUCGGAUUAGCUAGUUGGUGGGGUAAAGACCUACCAAGGCGACGAUCCGUGACUGGUCUGAGAGGAUGAUCACUCACACCAGAACUGAAACACGGUCCAGAAUCCUAAGGGAGGACACAGUCGGGGACAGUUGGCAAAGGGGGAAAACCUUAUCCAACCGUGAGGCGCCGGUGACGGAGGUCUUACGAUUGUUAAGCACUUUUAGGUGGGAGAAAGGGCAGUAAGCUAUUACCUUGAGUUUUUGACGUUACCUGCAGAAGAAGCACCGGCUAACUACGUG